UAGGGAGUCUUCCACAAUGGGCGCAAGCCUGAUGGAGCAACGCCGCGUGAGUGAAGAAGGUCUUCGGAUCGUAAAACUCUGUUGUUAGAGAAGAACAUGCAGGAGAGUAACUGUUCUUGUAUUGACGGUAUCUAACCAGAAAGCCACGGCUAACUACGUGCCAG
rnacentral:rRNA from 1 species